ensembl:snRNA U6 U6 spliceosomal RNA
GUGCUCGCUUCAGCAGCACAUAUACUAAAAUUGGAAUGAUAAAGAGAUUAGCAUGGCCCCUGCUCAAGGAUGACACGCAAAUUCGUGAAGCGUUCCAUACGUUU